UUGAUAAUGGGUUAGGUAAAUGUUCCAUGAUAAUGGAUUAGGUAAAUAUUCCAUGAUAAUGGGUUAGGUAAAUGUUCCAUGAUAAUGGUUUAGGUAAAUGUUCCAUGAUGGGAAUUUCAUGUCUUUUGUAUUAAAGAAUUAAAUGGAUGAAAUAUGAAAUUUUAUUAAAAGAAAAAGGGGUGAAAAAAACAAAAGUUUUGUCCAUCUUUGUUCAUCAUAGCCUAAAGUUAGAGAAGAGAAAGGAAAGGAGAAAGCUCUUGAAUGUUCGGUCACUUGGGGAAGAAAAUUGAAGGCGGUUCGUGUGUGGAUCUCGUCAGCAUAUCGUUGCAAACAGGAAAUUCCCAACCAUAGUGGGCUUGGAGCUGUGAGGGAAUUCGGGUGGCCACCCGUUCUGAAAGUUUGAUUUUCUUCUGGUGAAUUGGACAUCCUUUUAAUUACGUUUGAGGUUUUGGGCUUUUAAAUGUAAUAAGGCCGCUUAUUUAUUUUUUAUGGUUUUUAUAUGUUUUAUUAAGAUAGGUAAUAUUUAUAUUUAA